CAGCCGCCGCGGGAAUACGUAGGGUGCGAGCGUUAAUCGGAAUUACUGGGCGUAAAGCGUGCGCAGGCGGUUCGUUAAGACAGAUGUGAAGUCCCCGGGCUUAACCUGGGAACUGCAUUUGUGACUGGCGAGCUAGAGUAUGGCAGAGGGGGGUAGAAUUCCACGUGUAGCAGUGAAAUGCGUAGAGAUGUGGAGGAAUACCGAUGGCGAAGGCAGCCCCCUGGGCCAAUACUGACGCUCAUGCACGAAAGCGUGGGGAGCAAACAGGAUUAGAUACCCCAGUAGUCCCUGUCUCUUAUAC
rnacentral:rRNA from 1 species